rnacentral:rRNA from 1 species
AUUGAACGCUGGCGGCAGGCCUAACACAUGCAAGUCGAGCGGAGCGGCGGACGGGCGAGUAAUGCCUAGCAAUCUGCCUGGUAGUGGGGGAUAACGUCCGGAAACGGGCGCUAGUACCGAAUACUAUCAAUUGAGCCUAGGUCGGAUUAGCUAGUUGGUGGGGUAAAGGCCUACCAAGGCGAAGAUCCGUAACUGGUCUGAGAGGGUGAUCAGUCACACUGGAACUGAGACACGGUCCAGACUCCUACGGGAGGCAGCAGUGGGGAAUAUUGGACAAUGGUCGAAAGCCUGAUCCAGCCAUGCCGCGUGUGUGAAGAAGGUCUUCGGAUUGUAAAGCACUUUAAGUUGGGAGGCGUUACCAACAGAAUAAGCACCGGCUAACUUCGUGCCAGCAGCCGCGGUAAUUC